CUACGGGCUGCUGCAGUGGGGAAUUUUGCGCAAUGGGGGAAACCCUGACGCAGCGAUACCGCGUGAGUGAAGAAGGCCUUUGGGUCGUAAAGCUCUUUUCUAAGGGAAGAUAGUGACGGUACCUUAGGAAUAAGCGCCGGCUAACUCCGUGCCAGCAGCCGCGGUAAUACGGAGGGCGCGAGCGUUGUUCGGAUUUACUGGGCGUAAAGGGCGCGUAGGCGGCCUGGCAAGUUAAGGGUGAAAUCCCGGGGCUUAACCCCGGAACUGCUCUUAAAACUGCCAAGCUAGAGAUGGUCAGAGGCGGGUGGAAUUCCAGGUGUAGAGGUGAAAUUCGUAGAUAUCUGGAGGAACACCGGUGGCGAAGGCGGCCCGCUGGGGCCAUUCUGACGCUGAGGCGCGAAAGCGUGGGGAGCGAACGGGAUUAGAUACCCCUGUAGUC
rnacentral:rRNA from 1 species